rnacentral:rRNA from 1 species
CGGAUCGGAGUCUGCAACCGACUCCGUGAAGCUGGAUUCGCUAGUAAUCGCGCAUCAGCCAUGGCGCGGUGAAUACGUUCCCGGGCCUUGUACACACCGCCCGUCAAGCCAUGGGAGCCGGGGGUGCUUGAAGUGCGUCGCCGCAAGGCGCGCCCUAGAGCAAAACCGGUGACUGGGGCUAAGUCGUAACAAGGUAUC